rnacentral:lncRNA from 1 species
UUUUUUCUCCCUUUAUUUCGCGAAAAAUGCUCUUUGAAUUUGGCUUUUUGGAAGCCGAAAAGGUGGUUUUUAAAAGACCAUAGCAGCUUUUGUAUGUGGGUAAUUUGAAGAAGUUUGUGGUUAAUUUGAAGGGUCAUUCUAUGGCACCGAUGUUUCUCGGUGUUAUACAAAAAAGUGGCGGCCAAUCAUGAAAGGUCAAAAUUACAGAAAUGAUUUUAUUUGUUGGUAGAAAUCUUAUUCAUUUAUUUGUAUUUAUAUCUCAUUUUUUUAAUUUUUAUUUCUAGUUCAUAUCAAAUUGUGCGCGUUAGCAGCUCACUUUGAUAGUUCAAGAGGUAUAUUAUUUCAGUAUGAGAACAUUUUCUUAAUUUGAAAUAUUAAGGGUCC